rnacentral:rRNA from 1 species
GAUGAACGCUGGCGGCGUGCCUAAUACAUGCAAGUCGAGCGAACGGACGAGAAGCUUGCUUCUCUGAUGUUAGCGGCGGACGGGUGAGUAACACGUGGAUAACCUACCUAUAAGACUGGGAUAACUUCGGGAAACCGGAGCUAAUACCGGAUGAUAUUUUGAACCGCAUGGUUCAAAAGUGAAAGACGGUCUUGCUGUCACUUAUAGAUGGAUCCGCGCUGCAUUAGCUAGUUGGUAAGGUAACGGCUUACCAAGGCAACGAUGCAUAGCCGACCUGAGAGGGUGAUCGGCCACACUGGAACUGAGACACGGUCCAGACUCCUACGGGAGGCAGCGUAGGGAAUCUUCCGCAAAGGGCGAAAGCCUGACGGAGCAACGCCGCGUGAGUGAUGAAGGUCUUCGGAUCGUAAAACUCUGUUAUUAGGGAAGAACAUAUGUGUAAGUAACUGUGCACAUCUUGACGGUACCUAAUCAGAAAGCCGCGGCUAACUACGUG